UACAGAGGUCCCAAGCGUUGUUCGGAUUCACUGGGCGUAAAGGGUGCGUAGGCGGUCGGGUAAGUCUGAUGUGAAAUCUCACAGCUUAACUGUGAAACUGCAUUGGAUACUAUCCGGCUCGAGGAAUGGAGGGGAGACUGGAAUACUUGGUGUAGCAGUGAAAUGCGUAGAGAUGCGGAGGAACACCGAUGGCGAAGGCAGCCCCCUGGGCUGACACUGACGCUCAGGCACGAAAGCGUGGGGAGCAAACAGG
rnacentral:rRNA from 1 species